rnacentral:rRNA from 1 species
UAACUUCGGGAAACCGGAGCUAAUACCGGACAUAUAUUGAACCGCAUGGUUCAAUAGUGAAAGACGGUUUUGCUGUCACUUAUAGAUGGAUCCGCGCCGCAUAGCUAGUUGGUAAGGUAACGGCUUACCAAGGCAACGAUGCGUAGCCGACCUGAGAGGGUGAUCGGCCACACUGGAACUGAGACACGGUCCAGACUCCUACGGGAGGCAGCAGUAGGGAAUCUUCCGCAAUGGGCGAAAGCCUGACGGAGCAACGCCGCGUGAGUGAUGAAGGUCUUCGGAUCGUAAAACUCUGUUAUUAGGGAAGAACAAAUGUGUAAGUAACUAUGCACGUCUUGACGGUACCUAAUCAGAAAGCCACGGCUAACUACGUGCCAGCAGCCGCGGUAAUACGUAGGUGGCAAGCGUUAUCCGGAAUUAUUGGGCGUAAAGCGCGCGUAGGCGGUUUUUUAAGUCUGAUGUGAAAGCCCACGGCUCAACCGUGGAGGGUCAUUGGAAACUGGAAAACUUGAGUGCAGAAGAGGAAAGUGGAAUUCCAUGUGUAGCGGUGAAAUGCGCAGAGAUAUGGAGGAACACCAGUGGCGAAGGCGACUUUCUGGUCUGUAACUGACGCUGAUGUGCGAAAGCGUGGGGAUCAAACAGGAUUAGAUACCCUGGUAGUCCACGCCGUAACGAUGAGUGCUAAGUGUUAGGGGUUUCCGCCCCUUAGUGCUGCAGCUAACGCAUUAAGCACUCCGCCUGGGGAGUACGACCGCAAGGUGAAACUCAAAGGAUUGACGGGGACCCGCACAAGCGGUGGAGCAUGUGGUUUAAUUCGAGGCACGCGAGGACCUUACCAAAUCUUGACAUCUUCUGA